UGGGAACGUGCCCUUUGGUUCGGAAUAACUCAGGGAAACUUGAAGCUAAUACCGGAUAAGUCCGUAAGGAGAAAGAUUUAUCGCCGAAGGAGCGGCCCGCGUCCGAUUAGCUAGUUGGUGGGGUAAUGGCCCACCAAGGCUACGAUCGGUAGCUGGUCUGAGAGGAUGACCAGCCACACUGGGACUGAGACACGGCCCAGACUCCUACGGGAGGCAG
rnacentral:rRNA from 1 species